UAAGUGCUGUACAACUGGCGGAAGAUGCCUUAUGGGCAUUGUGGGAUAACCCACAGGGAGUACAGUUUAUAUUAAAAAAGCCGACCGCCUGGGCAACGUUA
rnacentral:ncRNA from 2 species